GACGAACCGAGCGAACGUUAUUCGGAAUCACUGGGCUUAAAGGGUGCGUAGGCGGGCCCGUCAGUCAGGGGUGAAAUCCCACGGCCCAACCGUGGAAGUGCCUCUGAUACUGCGGGCCUGGAGGGGGAUAGGGGCGUGCGGAACUUCCGGUGGAGCGGUGAAAUGCGUAGAUAUCAGGAGGAACACCGGUGGCGAAGGCGGGUCUCUGGGCCGAUACUGACGCUGAGGAGCGAAAGCGUGGGGAGCGAACAGG
rnacentral:rRNA from 1 species